rnacentral:rRNA from 1 species
UACCAGACUCCUACGGGAGGCAGCAGUGGGGGAUAUUGCACAAUGGGGGGAACCCUGAUGCAGCGACGCCGCGUGGGUGAAGGAGUGCUUCGGCAUGUAAAGCCCUAUCGGCAGGGAAGAAGCAAGACGGUACCUGACUAAGAAGCCCCGGCUAACUACGUGCCAGCAGCCGCGGUAAUACGUAGGGGGCAAGCGUUAUCCGGAAUUACUGGGUGUAAAGGGUGAGUAGGCGGCAUGGUAAGCCAGAUGUGAAAGCCUUGGGCUUAACCCGAGGAUUGCAUUUGGAACUAUCAAGCUAGAGUACAGGAGAGGAAAGCGGAAUUCCUAGUGUAGCGGUGAAAUGCGUAGAUAUUAGGAAGAACACCAGUGGCGAAGGCGGCUUGCUGGACUGUAACUGACGUUGAGGCUCGAAAGCGUGGGGAGCAAACAGGAUUAGAUACCCUUGUAAG